rfam:Camponotus floridanus CamFlo_1.0_3.contig1900, whole genome shotgun sequence.
UAAUUCGCUCUUUUCAGAGCGACCAACAUUCUUAAACGUGGAAUCU